UGGCGCCGUGCCGGGCUCUUCUCCUUUGCCGUUAGGCUGCUGCUCGCCCUUUCUAUCAACUCAGCGCGGUUUUGGUAUGAACAGGAUUCGGAUUCACGUCUUGCCAACGAAUCGGGGGAGGAUCACCCCAGUGCCCAGAUCUCAGGAGCCCCUCUCUUGUUCGUUCACUCACCGCCCAUGCUCUCAGCCGCGUCUGGAGGGGCAGGAGUUUUGUCUUAAGCAUAUUCUUGAAGACAAGAAUGCACCCUUCAAACAAUGUAGUUACAUUUCGACGAAGAAUGGGAAGAGGUGCCCCAGUGCUGCCCCAAAGCCUGAGAAGAAAGAUGGGGUGUCUUUCUGUGCUGAACAUGCUCGAAGGAAUGCCCUAGCACUUCAUGCUCAAAUGAAGAA
rnacentral:lncRNA from 1 species